GGAAUCUUAGACAAUGGGCGCAAGCCUGAUCUAGCCAUGCCGCGUGAGCGCUGAAGGCCUUAGGGUUGUAAAGCUCUUUCACCGGGGAAGAUAAUGACGGUACCCGGAGAAGAAGCCCCGGUUAACUCCGUGCCAGCAGCCGCGGGAAUACGGAGGGGGCUAGAGUUGUUCGGAAUUACUGGGCGUAAAGCGCGCGUAGGCGGAUUGGUAAGUCGGGGGUGAAAUCCCGGGGCUCAACCCCGGAACUGCCUUCGAUACUGGCAGUCUAGAGGUCGAGAGAGGUGAGUGGAAUUCCGAGUGUAGAGGUGAAAUUCGUAGAUAUUCGGAGGAACACCAGUGGCGAAGGCGGCUCACUGGCUCGAUACUGACGCUGAGGUGCGAAAGCGUGGGGAGCAAAC
rnacentral:rRNA from 1 species